CUAUGGGAAGAAGCAGUGUAGGUUAUUUACCUUGGUUUACUUCAGCAUGCUCUUAGGUUCUGAAUGUGCUCUUCUUCCAAUUUGCUGAAUAAUCCAACAUACUUUUUACUAAGAAAAGAAAUGAGCAGUUCAACCCACCCUUUAGGCUGAAUACAGGUAUACUUAUAUGCAGGAAUAGAUUCAGUGGAUAUUGUUGGUCUAAAAAAAAAUCUCCCGCCCACAGUACAUGGGCACUAGGAAAGGAAUCUGCAUGGAUGACUCCUCCUAAGAGCCGCAGAUACUGUAGGGUUUUACUGCUGCUCAGUGCUUGACAUGACUGAUUCAAAAAACAUCUGUGGACAGCAUGCCAUAUACUUCAGUAUUUCACUAUGAUUUAAAAAUAAGUCUUUUGAUAGGUCCUGGUCAUUUUUCCUACAACCAGUCUAAGAACAUGCAAAGAGAUUAUCAAUCUCCAGACCCAUAAGGAAUUGUUGAGGGCCCUCGGUUUGCCUGCCUGUGCUCCAGACCAUCUGUGAUCCAGCCCAGCUCUGGGACUUUGGGCCUGCUGCUGGAGAGGCCUGCUGCUGGAGAGGCCUGCUGCCAUGAGAAACAGGUGAGAAGAAAUGGCAACUUCAGACAGAGAAUUUUUCUACUUAUCCUGAACAUCAAAUGUCUCUGAGAAAUAGUUUUCUUGGCUGUAAAAGGGCUUUUUACGUAGCUAGUUUCAAAUGGAUUCCUAAACUUCAGAUAGUUGGAACAGGUUUUGUCAUUGCUGAAGGAAGGGCAGUUUUCUAGGAGUAUACCAGAAUAAGUAUAUGAUAGCUCUGGAAGAGCAGUCAAUCUGAAGUAUCUUCCGAGUUCUGUUUUGUAAUCACAAGACCACCUGGAUGCCCCUAUCAAAGGCUGACAGAACCAUGUAGAAGUUCUACUUCAAUGCCAAGCCUCCCUCUGCCAACACAUAGGAAUCAAUAACACUUGCCUCACAAAGUAAACUUUCAGAGGAAAGGAAAAGCAGGCAGCACACUGAGAGAUUAGAAAACAACCAGGAGUAACCUUGAGAGAUGUCCCUACUCAAGGGGAGAUCCUGGUGUGCAGUUGUUGCUGUGCAAGAGAGCUUAGCAGGUGCUGGACUGUCUACUACUUAUGGAGUAAGGCACCUGAAAAGAAGAAAAAUGUUAAUGAACUGGAGGAAUAUUAGAUCUGGUGCACUGUUUAACUUGGAGAAGAGAUGGCUUCAGAGAAACAUAUGGAAAGAAACAAUCCAAGCUCUUUACUGCAGUGCUUUGCCAGGAAAAAAGAGUCGACAUUCAUAAAUUUAAAGCAGUACAUUCGGACUUAAUAUAAUAACAGAUUGGAUAUAUUUUCCUGAGGCUUGACUGGCUAUUUUGGAACUUUUGGAGACUGCUGCACUCAAGACCUUCCAGGUUUCCUCUUUGGUUGUCAGAGCUGUUCCUGUAUGAUUCCACCUGCCUGCUCCCUAAACAAGCCU